UGGGCGGCUACACAUGCAGUCGAACGGUAACAGGAAGCAGCUUGCUGCUUCGCUGACGAGUGGCGGACGGGUGAGUAAUGUCUGGGAAACUGCCUGAUGGAGGGGGAUAACUACUGGAAACGGUAGCUAAUACCGCAUAACGUCGCAAGACCAAAGAGGGGGACCUUCGGGCCUCUUGCCAUCGGAUGUGCCCAGAUGGGAUUAGCUAGUAGGUGGGGUAACGGCUCACCUAGGCGACGAUCCCUAGCUGGUCUGAGAGGAUGACCAGCCACACUGGAACUGAGACACGGUCCAGACUCCUACGGGAGGCAGCAGUGGGGAAUAUUGCACAAUGGGCGCAAGCCUGAUGCAGCCAUGCCGCGUGUAUGAAGAAGGCCUUCGGGUUGUAAAGUACUUUCAGCGGGGAGGAAGGCGAUAAGGUUAAUAACCUUGUCGAUUGACGUUACCCGCAGAAGAAGCACCGGCUAACUCCGUGCCAGCAGCCGCGGUAAUACGGAGGGUGCAAGCGUUAAUCGGAAUUACUGGGCGUAAAGCGCACGCAGGCGGUCUGUCAAGUCGGAUGUGAAAUCCCCGGGCUCAACCUGGGAACUGCAUUCGAAACUGGCAGGCUAGAGUCUUGUAGAGGGGGGUAGAAUUCCACGUGUAGCGGUGAAAUGCGUA
rnacentral:rRNA from 1 species